UCCGGUUUGGCACCGGCAGUCUCCAAUGAGUCCCCGGCAUUACCCGCUGGCAACAUCGGACAGGGGUUGCGCUCGUUGCGCCACUUAACCCAACAUCUCACGGCACGAGCUGACGACAGCCAUGCAGCACCUGUGCCGGCUCCCGAAGGAGCCCCGUGUUUCCACGGGUUUUCCGGUGUAUGUCAAGCCUUGGUAAGGUUCUUCGCGUUGCGUCGAAUUAAGCCACGUGCUCCGCCGCUUGUGCGGGCCCCCGUCAAUUCCUUUGAGUUUUAGCCUUGCGGCCGUACUCCCCAGGCGGGGCACUUAAUGCGUUAGCUGCGGCACGGACAACGUGGAAUGUUGCCCACACCUAGUGCCCACCGUUUACGGCGUGGACUAC
rnacentral:misc_RNA from 1 species